rnacentral:sRNA from 1 species
UCGACGGUGAUACCGGAGAGCCUACAGAC